rnacentral:rRNA from 1 species
AAAUUGAAGAGUUUGAUCAUGGCUCAGAUUGAACGCUGGCGGCAGGCCUAACACAUGCAAGUCGAGCGGUAGCACAGAGAGCUUGCUCUCGGGUGACGAGCGGCGGACGGGUGAGUAAUGUCUGGGAAACUGCCUGAUGGAGGGGGAUAACUACUGGAAACGGUAGCUAAUACCGCAUAAUGUCGCAAGACCAAAGUGGGGGACCUUCGGGCCUCAUGCCAUCAGAUGUGCCCAGAUGGGAUUAGCUAGUAGGUGGGGUAACGGCUCACCUAGGCGACGAUCCCUAGCUGGUCUGAGAGGAUGACCAGCCACACUGGAACUGAGACACGGUCCAGACUCCUACGGGAGGCAGCAGUGGGGAAUAUUGCACAAUGGGCGCAAGCCUGAUGCAGCCAUGCCGCGUGUGUGAAGAAGGCCUUCGGGUUGUAAAGCACUUUCAGCGGGGAGGAAGGCGAUAAGGUUAAUAACCUUGUCGAUUGACGUUACCCGCAGAAGAAGCACCGGCUAACUCCGUGCCAGCAGCCGCGGUAAUACGGAGGGUGCAAGCGUUAAUCGGAAUUACUGGGCGUAAAGCGCACGCAGGCGGUCUGUCAAGUCGGAUGUGAAAUCCCCGGGCUCAACCUGGGAACUGCAUUCGAAACUGGCAGGCUAGAGUCUUGUAGAGGGGGGUAGAAUUCCAGGUGUAGCGGUGAAAUGCGUAGAGAUCUGGAGGAAUACCGGUGGCGAAGGCGGCCCCCUGGACAAAGACUGACGCUCAGGUGCGAAAGCGUGGGGAGCAAACAGGAUUAGAUACCGGUAGUCCACGCCGUAAACGAUGUCGAUUUGGAGGUUGUGCCCUUGAGGCGUGGCUUCCGGAGCUAACGCGUUAAAUCGACCGCCCGGGAGUACGGCCGCAAGGUUAAAACUCAAAUGAAUUGACGGGGGCCCGCACAAGCGGUGGAGCAUGUGGUUUAAUUCGAUGCAACGCGAAGAACCUUACCUGGUCUUGACAUCCACAGAACUUAGCAGAGAUGCUUUGGUGCCUUCGGGAACUGUGAGACAGGUGCUGCAUGGCUGUCGUCAGCUCGUGUUGUGAAAUGUUGGGUUAAGUCCCGCAACGAGCGCAACCCUUAUCCUUUGUUGCCAGCGGUUAGGCCGGGAACUCAAAGGAGACUGCCAGUGAUAAACUGGAGGAAGGUGGGGAUGACGUCAAGUCAUCAUGGCCCUUACGACCAGGGCUACACACGUGCUACAAUGGCAUAUACAAAGAGAAGCGACCUCGCGAGAGCAAGCGGACCUCAUAAAGUAUGUCGUAGUCCGGAUUGAGUCUGCAACUCGACUCCAUGAAGUCGGAAUCGCUAGUAAUCGUAGAUCAGAAUGCUACGGUGAAUACGUUCCCGGGCCUUGUACACACCGCCCGUCACACCAUGGGAGUGGGUUGCAAAAGAAGUAGGUAGCUUAACCUUCGGGAGGGCGCUUACCACUUUGUGAUUCAUGACUGGGGUGAAGUCGUAACAAGGUAACCGUAGGGGAACCUGCGGUUGGAUCACCUCCUUACCUUAAAGAA